GAGGAGCGAAGCGGCGCGCGCCUAGCCAGGCACGCUGGAAACGGUAGCUCUUAAACGUUCUCCGCCCGUUGGUUGCAAGGCGGCUGGACUGGAAUCCCAGCAGGCGACGUGCGAGGAGGAGGGCAGCCCAGGAGGGUUGGGCAGGGCAGUGUGGACCUCGCCGCUUCCACAGCGAUGCUGGCUACUGAUCGCAGGCACCUCCUUGCCAUGGGAAGUUUGUGCUAUGUACUAACAUGCAAUACAAAUACUGAUGAAAACAAAACUAUUACCCUCCUACCAAAUGGGAAAUUAAUGUUAUGACUGGAUAAAUUCGAGGUUGUCUAUCUCCGUUUUCUGAUGGAAAAGCGUGGAGUUCCGAAGCAUUGCUCGCUCCUUCAGUUUCUAACAAGCCAGGUCUUGGAGAGACCAGGAAGCCAAGAGUUUCCUCCAAGAAUGGAGAUUCCUUGGGAGCGAUGUUCGCCUUGAGUAAAGAAAGAUGAAUCACAUGUGGUCAAAGGCAGUUGUCCAGGGUCUCAAGAAAAGAGCCAGAAAGAGGAGCUGGGGCUGCUGGGAUUGUGGGGGUCCUGUCUCCCACCUAAAAAGCUACUACUGCCUGCCGACCCUCUCAAGAGGAGACCUCUCUGGGCUCCAGCACCUAAAACAGACAAAACUGGGAGGAUGGUUCUCUCUUCUGUGUCACACAUGUCCUAGAGAAAACCUGUGUAUCUGAAUGACCAAAGAAAACGAUGAGAAAAAAUGCAAAA